rnacentral:rRNA from 1 species
AUCAACUUUCGAUGGUAGGAUAGAGGCCUACCAUGGUGGUAACGGGUAACGGGGUGUUAGGGCACGACACCGGAGAGGGAGCCUGAGAAACGGCUACCACAUCCAAGGAUGGCAGCAGGCGCGCAAAUUACCCAAUCCCGACACGGGGAGGUAGUGACAAUAAAUAACAAUACGGGGUUCUUUCGGAUUUCGUAAUUGGAAUGAGUACAAUUUAAAUCUCUUAACGAGGAACAAUUGGAGGGCAAGUCUGGUGCCAGCAGCCGCGGUAAUUCCAGCUCCAAUAGCGUAUAUUAAAGUUGCUGCAGUUAAAAAGCUCGUAGUUGAAUUUCGGGACUAAUAUGUCGGUCGUGCCUCGGUACGUACUGGCUUAUUGGUUUCUCCUUUCUGAAGAACUAUGAUGUCAUUUAUUUGGUGUCGUGGGGAAUCAGGACUGUUACUUUGAAAAAAUUAGAGUGUUUAAAGCAGGCUCACGCUUGAAUACAUUAGCAUGGAAUAAUGAAAUAGGACGUUUGAUUCUAUUUUGUUGGUUUCUAGGAUCGACGUAAUGAUUAAUAGGGAUAGUUGGGGGCAUUAGUAUUCAAUUGUCAGAGGUGAAAUUCUUGGAUUUAUUGAAGACUAACUACUGCGAAAGCAUUUGCCAAGGAUGUUUUCAUUAAUCAAGAACGAAAGUUAGGGGAUCGAAGACGAUCAGAUACCGUCGUAGUCUUAACCAUAAACUAUGCCGACUAGGGAUCGGAUGAUGUUAAUUUUUUAAUGACUCAUUCGGCGCCUUACGGGAAACCAAAGUGUUUGGGUUC